rnacentral:tRNA from 1 species
GCGGGAAUGGCGGAAUGCAGACGCACCGGGCCCAAACCCCGGGGAGCCGGAAGGCUCGUGCGGGUUCGAAUCCCGCUUCCCGUA